rnacentral:rRNA from 1 species
UACGGAGGGUGCAAGCGUUAUCCGGAUUCACUGGGUUUAAAGGGUGCGUAGGUGGGCUUGUAAGUCAGUGGUGAAAUCUCCGGGCUUAACCCGGAAACUGCCAUUGAUACUAUAGGUCUUGAAUUAUCUGGAGGUAAGCGGAAUAUGUCAUGUAGCGGUGAAAUGCUUAGAUAUGACAUAGAACACCAAUUGCGAAGGCAGCUUACUACGGAUCGAUUGACACUGAGGCACGAAAGCGUGGGGAUCAAACAGG